rnacentral:rRNA from 1 species
UACAGAGGGGGCAAGCGUUGUUCGGAAUUACUGGGCGUAAAGGGCGCGUAGGCGGCCCGCUAAGUCGAACGUGAAAUCCCUGGGCUCAACCCAGGAACUGCGUCCGAUACUGGCAGGCUUGAAUCCGGGAGAGGGAUGCGGAAUUCCAGGUGUAGCGGUGAAAUGCGUAGAUAUCUGGAGGAACACCGGUGGCGAAGGCGGCAUCCUGGACCGGCAUUGACGCUGAGGCGCGAAAGCCAGGGGAGCAAAGCGGG